rnacentral:rRNA from 1 species
GACGAACGCUGGCGGCGUGCUUAACACAUGCAAGUCGAACGGAAAGGCCCUGCUUUUGUGGGGUGCUCGAGUGGCGAACGGGUGAGUAACACGUGAGUAACCUGCCCUUGACUUUGGGAUAACUUCAGGAAACUGGGGCUAAUACCGGAUAGGAGCUCCUGCUGCAUGGUGGGGGUUGGAAAUUUUCGGCGGUUGGGGAUGGACUCGCGGCUUAUCAGCUUGUUGGUGGGGUAGUGGCUUACCAAGGCUUUGACGGGUAGCCGGCCUGCGAGGGUGACCGGCCACAUUGGGACUGAGAUACGGCCCAGACGUCUACGGGAGGCAGCAGUGGGGAAUAUUGCACAAUGGGAGGAAGCCUGAUGCAGCAACGCUGCGUGCGGGAUGACGGCCUUCGGGUUGUAAACCGCUUUCGCCUGUGACGAAGCGUGAGUGACGGUAAUGGGUAAAGAAGCACCGGCUAACUACGUG